CUUUGCUUGUCACUAUUUUUUUUCAGAACUAGCAUCACAAGAGUUGGGAAGGCUUACUGUUACCUAAAUGCAACUCCUGCAUGAAUUAGAGGGUUGCUGCAAAGGAAGCAGCACCAUCAAGGAGAAACUGCAGAGAAUGCUCCUUCAUGAUUGUGCCUCUACCAUUGUGUCGUACCUCACGCUUGGAACUCACCUUGGACAGGACCAUCCCCAUCACCUUCAUCUUUCCUGAGCAAGGUCAGCUUUCUGUAUGGUUCAUGGUAAGCCAGCAUCGAAAGGCAGUAUCAUCCAUCAUUUAGGUUUCCUCAGAAGCUACGGUCUAGAUAGAUUUUCCUUAGGAUUUCUCAUGAGUGGAGAUGUGAAAACAGCUUCUGGUCUUCAAAGUUCACCAGCAUUUUAUAUUCUGUAGCUGUGCUUUUCACAUGAGGAGAAGGCUGAGUAGGAGAGAUGUGUGCAGGUUAAUGUCUUUUUUCAGAAAUUAACAGUCUACAAAUGAUAAUGAGCUUAGUGAAUCUUAUUAACACAAGUUACAGCUGACUGACAAGUAACAAACCUGACUGCCUGUUAUUUGUUUUGGACCUGUUCAGCUGGAUGGACAAGAAUAAUUGCAUUUUUAGACAUUGUUAAAUCCACAAAACAUCAAGAUGCAAUGCAUACAAAGCUGGAAACAACUCUCAGUGAGGCAACUCUAAAUGGUAAAUGGAUAAGGAUAAGGAUAAAUAGCACAAAAUAAACCCCUCAUACAUUUGGUUAAUCAACUCUAUUCCCCUUUUCCUCUCAUCUUUCAAAUUCACAGGCAAAUGACAUUUGCCUUUCCCCAGCAUGCACCUCUCCUUUAAACCAGGGAGUUUGCCUGGGGCCAUACCUAUAUAUCUGAUCCAUGCAUAAUGAAGCAUGAAGCUGCCAAUUGUAGGGAGCGUCUGCUGUGUCAGAGACUGAUAGGCAUUUCAUUUGCUGAACUCCCAAGGGCCCUCACGCUUCUCAGGUUUCAUGUAGUAUUUAUUUUAGGCACUCACAUUUCUCAUCUGUGAACUUCACACCAUAUGUAGAAUGAGUAACACAAGCUCUGCAUGAAAAAGCUCUCCAGGUAGUUUUAAAUGUAACUUGGUGGACUGGGGACAUUAUGGACUUGAAAAAUAGGCUCGCAUGAGAAAUGGAGGAAUAUUGAGCUUUGUUCAUACAACAGCUGUCUGAGUCUUUCACUGAAUAAGAAUGGCCUUAUUCUAAUAAAAUGACUGCUCUACACUUCUACCACACAAAUUGUUUUGUAGUGUGCACUGUGCAGAUCUACAUUUUUCACAAGUUAUUGCUACUCUGCCACACUGUCCGCAAGGAAAUGUUCAUUUGCUGUUUCUAAAGUGCAGUUUUGUUGGGUCUGAGGCUCAGACAGUCAGGGUGAACUGAUGGAUAGCAAGCCCAUAUGCCAUGCAGCUUUGAAAUCUGAAGGCUGAAUAACAAUUCUGAAAAGAUUGCUUUGGUUCUCAAAAUCUGGCCAUACAGAAUUACUGAGGCAAAUAUAUGUCUCUUGUUUAUUUUUGUUGGUAGGGAUCUAGAAAAUAUUUCAUAUGAAAUGCUCUCUUUUAGCAUAACAGUGAAGGAGAAUAAUAGAGAGGAAUAAAAGAAAUGUCUGUUCUCCAUUGGUAUUUUUCUGAAUAGGUGUUUCUAAGCAUAGCAAAACCUUUGGCAUUUGCUUCUUGGUUUGUAGGCAAGGUGAUUAUGACAGCCUUAUGAAAAAUCCUCACGUAAGUGUUCAUAGGGGACAAUCUAUCUGGCGCAGCCUGAUGAUGUAGACUAGGCAGUAAAACUAACAUUCAGAAAAAACAGAUCUGUUUGACUGCUUGGCAAUCAAAGUGUGUUUCUGGGAGGAGACAAAUACUAUGUUCUUAAUCAGGAAUAUUUAAAUAUGUGUGCAGUAUGAAGCAUUUCACUAUUUCACUGGUUCUGAUGGCAGAUCACUCUUGUAGAAAUCAAUGUGCUCACAGGCUCAUGCUGUGCUGAGGGAGCAGACCCUCUGCCAGUUCGAAGUGCUGUAAUGAAGCAAUGUCAAUUUAAAACAGAAGCAUUGUUACCCUGCACUUCCAUCUUCAUCUGUUUGCAACACUCUGGUUUCAUGAGUGCUCAAUGUCCAAACUUCCUGUGGCAAUCAGCUUUCUCUAUUUUGGCCUUUAUUCAAGGCAAUUCUGGGGGGUUUUAUCAUUAAAAAAAAAAAAAAAAAAAAAGAAAGAAGAAAAAAAGAAACAGCAACUUCAAAGCCCUUUUCUGUGAGUUUUGUAUGUCAUCUACAAUGUGUAAUAGGCAAUGCUGUGAAUGAGACAGUUCACUACUAUUAAGCUAAUGAAAUACAAAGUGUAAGUGGUUUCAUUAUGCCAGCAGCAAUUCUUUUUUAUAUUUCAUUGCAAUACUUAUUCCAUAGUAUGCUUUACAGUAGGAAAUUCUAUUGAAAAUUUUUUCUUCUUAUUGAAUUUGAGCAGAAAAAAGACAUUGCAAAAUUCUACUUCAUGUAUAUAUAAUCUUCAAAACAAAGUGAAUGAAUAGAGUUGCCUGCAUGGAAUUAGGGUAUUACAAUAAUGAACGCAAUCAUGUUGUGAAAGGCUUUUUAUAUUGGUCAGACUCACAUGAGAGUGCAGCAAGAUUUGUUUGGCAAGCAGCAUUUUGGUAAUCUCUGGCUUUCAAAUUCCUAAUCACGAGUUCACCUCAAUGUAAAGGUUUUAUUUCUAAUAAAUUAUUUGCAUACACUUA